rnacentral:tRNA from 7 species
GCCCGGAUGGCGAAAUCGGUAGACGCAGGGGACUCAAAAUCCCCCGCCGCAAGGCGUGUCGGUUCGAGUCCGACUCCGGGCACCA